rnacentral:rRNA from 1 species
GACGUAGGAUGCAAGCGUUGUCCGGAUUUAUUGGGCGUAAAGAGUUCGUAGGUGGUUUGUUAAGUCUGAUGUUAAGGACUGGGGCUCAACCUCGGAAAUGCAUUGGAUACUGGCAGACUUGAGUGCAGUAGAGGCAAGCGGAAUUCCAGGUGUAGCGGUGAAAUGCGUAGAUAUCUGGAAGAACACCGGUGGCGCAAGCGGCUUGCUGGGCUGUAACUGACACUGAGGAACGAAAGCUAGGGGAGCAAAUGGG